rnacentral:lncRNA from 1 species
AUUUGGUUAGGGUUUGAUUAGGAUUUGAUUUAGGUUUUAAUAUUUGGUUAGGAUUUGGUUUAGGAUUUAGAAUUUGGAUUAAGGUUUAAUUUAAGAUUUAGGAUUUUAUUAGGAUUUAAGAUUCAAUUAGUUUUGGCCUAAAGUUUGAAUGAAUUUUAAUAGGAUUUUAACUAGAAUUAAAUUAAGAUUGAAUUGAGAUGUAUUUGAGUGAUAUUUAUGAUCCUUGUAAUAUUUCUUUAAGAAUUCUUAUUAUUUGUUUGAAAUUUCUUGAGGUAUUUUUGAAUUUAAUUGAAGC